rnacentral:miRNA from 1 species
UUGAGCCGUUCCAAUAUCACA